rnacentral:rRNA from 1 species
CCCGCCUGCCCUGUGACCAAAAGUUUAACGGCCGCGGUACUUUGACCGUGCGAAGGUAGCGCAAUCACUUGUCUUUUAAAUGGAGACCUGUAUGAAUGGCAUAACGAGGGCUAAGCUGUCUCCUUUUUCCAGUCAAUGAAAUUGAUCUGCCCGUGCAGAAGCGGGCAUAUAAACAUAAGACGAGAAGACCCUAUGGAGCUUUAGACACUAGAGCAGCCCGCGUUAAUAAACCUUAACAAAAAGAUUAAACCAAACGACCCCUGCUCCCCUGUCUUCGGUUGGGGCGACCGCGGGGGAACAAAAAUCCCCCACGUGGAAUAGGAACAACCUCCUUAAAAAUAGGGCUACACCCCUAAUAAACAGAAAAUCUGACCAACAAUGACCCGGCAAAGCCGAUCAACGGACCCAGUUACCCUAGGGAUAACAGCGCAAUCCUCUUUUAGAGCCCAUAUCGACAAGAGGGUUUACGACCUCGAUGUUGGAUCAGGACAUCCUAAUGGUGCAGCCGCUAUUAAGGGUUCGUUUGUUCAACGAUUAACAGUCCUACGUGAUCUG